rnacentral:rRNA from 1 species
CAGCAGCCACGGUAAUACGGAGGGAGCUAGCGUUGUUCGGAAUUACUGGGCGUAAAGCGCGCGUAGGCGGUUACUCAAGUCAGAGGUGAAAGCCCGGGGCUCAACCCCGGAACUGCCUUUGAAACUAGGUGACUAGAAUCUUGGAGAGGUCAGUGGAAUUCCGAGUGUAGAGGUGAAAUUCGUAGAUAUUCAAAAGAACACCAGUGGCGAAGGCGACUGACUGGACAAGUAUUGACGCUGAGGUGCGAAAGCGUGGGGAGCAAACAGGAUUAGAUACCCGAGUAGUCCCUGUCUCUUAUAC